UGCAUGUCUAAGUAUAAGCAAUUAUACAGCGAAACUGCGAAUGGCUCAUUAUAUAAGUUAUCGUUUAUUUGAUAGUACCUUACUACUUGGAUAACCGUGGUAAUUCUAGAGCUAAUACAUGCUAAAAACCCCGACUUCGGAAGGGGUGUAUUUAUUAGAUUAAAAACCAAUGCCCUUCGGGGCUCCUUGGUGAUUCAUGAUAACUUCUCGAAUCGCAUGGCCUUGCGCCGGCGAUGGUUCAUUCAAAUUUCUUCCCUAUCAACUUUCGAUGUUUGGGUAUUGGCCAAACAUGGUUGCAACGGGUAACGGAGGGUUAGGGCUCGACCCCGGAGAAGGAGCCUGAGAAACGGCUACUACAUCCAAGGAAGGCAGCAGGCGCGCAAAUUACCCAAUCCCGACACGGGGAGGUAGUGACAAUAAAUACUGAUACAGGGCUCUUUUGGGUCUUGUAAUUGGAAUGAGUACAAUCUAAAUCCCUUAACGAGGAACAAUUGGAGGGCAAGUCUGGUGCCAGCAGCCGCGGUAAUUCCAGCUCCAAUAGCGUAUAUUAAAGUUGUUGUGGUUAAAAAGCUCGUAGUUGAACCUUGGGCCUGGCUGGCCGGUCCGCCUCACCGCGUGCACUGGUCCGGCCGGGCCUUUCCCUCUGUGGAACCCCAUGCCCUUCACUGGGCGUGGCGGGGAAACAGGACUUUUACUUUGAAAAAAUUAGAGUGCUCCAGGCAGGCCUAUGCUCGAAUACAUUAGCAUGGAAUAAUGAAAUAGGACGUGCGGUUCUAUUUUGUUGGUUUCUAGGACCGCCGUAAUGAUUAAUAGGGACAGUCGGGGGCAUCAGUAUUCAAUUGUCAGAGGUGAAAUUCUUGGAUUUAUUGAAGACUAACUACUGCGAAAGCAUUUGCCAAGGAUGUUUUCAUUAAUCAGGAACGAAAGUUAGGGGAUCGAAGACGAUCAGAUACCGUCGUAGUCUUAACCAUAAACUAUGCCGACUAGGGAUCGGACGAUGUUACUUAUUGACUCGUUCGGCACCUUACGAGAAAUCAAAGUGCUUGGGCUCCAGGGGGAGUAUGGUCGCAAGGCUGAAACUUAAAGAAA
rnacentral:rRNA from 1 species